UGGGCCCCACGCAACGGAAGGUUACGAACUCCGUCAGGUCCGGAAGGAAGCAGCGG
rnacentral:SRP_RNA from 17 species